GGGUGCUACAUCUGAUAGGGGACGAGGCUCUGAGUUUGAAUUUGAGAAAUUUGAGAGUGGCACAGUGAAGCCAUGGGAGGGUGAGAGAAUUCAUGAAGUUGGGGUGGAUGAUUUGGAGCUUACUCUUGGGGGUGGGAAGGCCCGUGGUUAAGCAUCCCCUUGAAGAUAUUUAUUUCAAGAACUUAAGUGCCUGCUCUUUAAAGGUUAUUGGUUUAUGUUCACAAAAAUAUGUUUACUUUCUUAGCUUGGACUUGCUCUUCUGCUACCAUUAGACCGACCCUGGUUUGCCUUCAUUUGAACAGUUCCUUUCCCUUGGAGCCC
rnacentral:misc_RNA from 1 species